GCAAAUAGUGAAAUCUGGUGGCUCAACCAUCAACCCAUUAUUUGAACUGGAUUGCUCGAGAGCGAGAGAGGUCACUGGAAUUCCUUGUGUAGGAGUGAAAUCCGUAGAUAUAAGGAGGAACACCAAUGGCGUAGGCAGGUGACUGGCUCGUUUCUGACACUGAGGCACGAAAGCGUGGGGAGCGAACGGGAUUAGAUACCCCGGUAGUCCACGCCGUAAACGAUGGAUGCUAGCUGUUAGGAGUAUCGACCCUUCUAGUAGCGAAGCUAACGCGUUAAGCAUCCCGCCUGGGGAGUACGGUCGCAAGAUUAAAACUCAAAGGAAUUGACGGGGACCCGCACAAGUGGUGGAGCGUGUUCUUUAAUUCGAUGAUAAGCGAAGAACCUUACCAGGGCUUGACAUCCUUGGAAUUUCUCCGAAAGGAGAGAGUACUUUAUUGGACCAAGUGACAGGUGUUGCAUGGCCGUCGUCAGCUCGUGUCGUGAGAUGUUAGGUUAAGUCCUUCAACGAGCGCAACCCUUAUGUUUAGUUGAAUUUUUCUAAACAGACUGCCUCGGUAACGGGGAGGAAGGAGGGGAUGAUGUCAGGUCAUUAUUACCCUUACGUCCUGGGCUAGAAACGCGCUACAAUGGCCGGUACAAAGGGCAGCCAACCCGCGAGGGGGAGCAAAUCCCAUCAAAACCGGUCCCAGUUCGGAUUGCAGGCUGAAACUCGCCUGC
rnacentral:rRNA from 1 species